CAAUCAUUUGAGAUAAACUAUAAUCUCACGUGACAGCAGGAGGGAAACAGCGCAGCGCCUCCCAAACACAGUUGUCCAAAUACUUGAUGCUCAUCACAUUAUUAUAGCGGCCACGUGACUUACGCUUUGGCUGUUGUUCUUCCGGUCGUGAAUGAGGCUUUCAAUCAGCCCAAUGACAUCCUUCACUGCUGAAGACUCGUUCACGCUGAGAAAUGAAAAGAGUGGUCGAAGGAUCGGGAACACCACUGCAAUGAGAUACACUGUUGUCUGUUCCAGCAAUCACAUCUAAGCUGUAGGCCCCAAAGACCCUGGUGGACAGACAAGGGAAAGUAGCCAGCGAGGACUUCAAUCAAGUUUCAGCUUGCGGGGUUGAAUGCCGACGUCAUAGUCUGUCGUAACCGUUGCCAGGUGUAGUCAUCCGUGAAAGCCACGCUAUAGUUUAACGGGUAUGGCGGUUGAACUAGAAGAGCACUCCCCUGCUCACAGAAAAAUUUAGAAAGCAUAGGUCAUAGAGAACAAUAUAAUUUAUGAUUAGCAGUGAAAAAAUUUCCUUGUUAAAAGUUACUCCCUUUUCCCUUUUCGGAUUGUGUUUUAGGUUAAAAUAUAAUGUUCACCAAUCCAUCAGAUUAUCUUUAGCUGUUAUCAGUCUCGGAUUGAUAAUGAAAAAUGCUCAGAAAUUGAUUUAUUACCCUGUUCCUGAAGUUGUUGAAGUCCUUUUAUGAACACCUCCUUUACAAUGUCUAAGUCUGCUGUGACUAAGAUCGGACUUCUCAUGAAGUAGAGCUUUGAAAACAAACAGUAUAAAGGUCUGAGCUUAAUGGACAAGUACAACCAAACACAGGCUGGGCUUAACUACUGAAAAUUGACUGUUAUAUUAUAGACAUACAUCUUAUUUGUUUGUGUUUUGUGAUAUAUAUAUAUACUCUCUCAUUGUAGUUAGUUUCUACUAUUUUGUUGCAAUCAAUUAUUUCACCAGUUCUACUUUUCAACUCAAUCUUCCAAGUCACAUCAAAACACUUCCCUCAACGACACAGUGUUCGUGUCCUCGUUAUAGAGAUGCACCAAGAAAAGAAAUACAGGGAUUAUCAUUGGAUGUGCACAUUUUUGAUGAGAUUAUUUAAGGCUUCGAUGAAUUGUCCGCAUCUCACCUGCUGUUUGCAACAUAGAAAUAAAGUAUCUACAUUUUGUGGACUACGUAAGAGUUGAGUUCGAUCUUGUUAAAGUGUAAAUUUUCAUCUGAUGCUACUUAGUGCUAUCACAACUGAGAGGGACGAUGCACAAUAUCUUCACGGACAGCAGAGUAAAUUACAAAUGUUGUUAUUCAAUCAAAUUCAUGCAUCAAAUACAUCACUAUUUAUUUAGAUGUAAUCAAUUUAAACAUUUUUUCAAACAUGCAAAAAAUUUUUCUUGAAACAACUUACCCGAAAGUUUUCCCGUACUGUCUAUGCCAGUCUCGAGUUAUCUCGAAGAUGCCCUGUAGGAAUGUAGGUGAGUUUAUUUGUAAUUUAGUGUUUGUAAAAACAUUAUAUGAUCAAAGGGCGAGAACAUGACAACAAACGGUGACAUUUAGUCUUCAAAAGUUAAGAGACACCUGCCUUCCUCCAUAUCGCCAGAGUGUUUCCGAAAAAUGGAACAGGUCGUGGUCCUGGGAUGUUACAGUUCGAAAAAUGGGAGUAUGUCCACGUGCCAUACCUGAGGCAAGGGAGGAAAACAAUUGGUGGACAAUGAAAGUUACAUAAUACUCAAGAUGUCACUGCCUUCUAUGUCAAACUAUGUUUAGUAUAAACAGAAACCAAGUAUUAGCUUAUGCUGUAAAUCACUAUAUACAUGUUACCAUCUCCCAAAUUGUUAUUAUAUACCUACUACUAUUUACCUACUUGUUACUAUAUAUGGCAGUUAUCAUAUACUUAAUUAUCACUAUCAUCUACCAUAUGGAUAAUUGCUAUUUUAUACUUGUUACCAUAUACCUAAAACAUUAACCAUGUCAUUUGUAUAUUUACAUGUACAGAAGCACGAGGCUCAGCAAAACAAGUCCGGCAGGCACAACCAAAUCCAUUAUGUCCAUCUUGUGUAUGAUUUUGUCAGGUGUGUCUAGCAGCAGUCCCUCUUUCCUGAUGUAGUUCACAGCGAGGUCAAAGGUCUGACACAGCUCGUGCAAGUUAAACCUCUUGCCUGACCGUUUGUGAGGUUGUUGUCAAAUGGACGUGCAUAAGCUGACUUUCUAACGGAGGCACAGACCCCUCUGUCCUUUGCUUGAAGUCCUCCACUCGUACUCUUGUACUUUGUUUUAGCCAAAUUCAGACAUGAAGUAGACAGCAAGUACUUGUUGCUUCCUAUAUUAAACUUCAGUAAUUUUUAAACUGAGCUACACGUUUGCCACGUAGUAUUUAGUAAAUCAAUAAUUUAGAAUUUAUACAGAGGUGUUUGACCUUAGUCAUAAUUUGAUGUCUGUCGUAAACUAAUAGGAUGAAAGUGAUAUGUCUGCCAGCCACAGCUUGCCCAGUCUCGGUUAAACAGGGUUCGCUGCAUGAAUACAAAUAGCGAACACUCCGGCACUGGUUUCCUUCCUUUGCACGUAGCCGCCAUCUUGGCCUCGUACAGCGCCAGUCGCAUGCCGAUACACUGACGAGGACCCGCCCCGAAAGCCAACUCUCGUAACAGAGUCGAGAUGUUUUUAUCGUCGAACCUUGGAAAACAGCAAACGAUAAUGAGAAAGGCCUUGCGGCUACCUCGGCUUCUGAUGCUUCUGCAUCCAGCAUCAGCUGCAAAGAUUUUCAAUCAACUGAGCAAGGUGUUUUCCUCCUGAAGAGCUGGUCACCCCAAGAAACGAAAAGGCUGGCCGAAGGAUCGGAAAAAUCACUGCAAUGAGAGGACACUGUGUGAUAUGUGUGGAAGGAGAACAC